rnacentral:rRNA from 1 species
GAUGAACGCUGGCGGCGUGCCUAAUACAUGCAAGUCGAGCGAACAGACGAGGAGCUUGCUCCUCUAACGUUAGCGGCGGACGGGUGAGUAACACGUGGAUAACCUACCUAUAAGACUGGGAUAACUUCGGGAAACCGGAGCUAAUACCGGAUAAUAUAUUGAACCGCAUGGUUCAAUAGUGAAAGACGGUUUUGCUGUCACUUAUAGAUGGAUCCGCGCCGCAUUAGCUAGUUGGUAAGGUAACAGCUUACCAAGGCAACGAUGCGUAGCCGACCUGAGAGGGUGAUCGGCCACACUGGAACUGAGACACGGUCCAGACUCCUACGGGAGGCAGCAGUAGGGAAUCUUCCGCAAUGGGCGAAAGCCUGACGGAGCAACGCCGCGUGAGUGAUGAAGGUCUUCGGAUCGUAAAACUCUGUUAUUAGGGAAGAACAAAUGUGUAAGUAACUAUGCACGUCUUGACGGUACUUAAUCAGAAAGCCACGGCUAACUACGUG